rnacentral:rRNA from 1 species
AACGAAGCACUUAUCUUUGAUUCUUCGGAUGAAGAGGUUUGUGACUGAGUGGCGGACGGGUGAGUAACGCGUGGGCAACCUGCCUCAUACAGGGGGAUAACAGUUAGAAAUGACUGCUAAUACCGCAUAAGACCACGGAGCCGCAUGGCUCAGUGGGAAAAACUCCGGUGGUAUGAGAUGGACCCGCGUCUGAUUAGGUAGUUGGUGGGGUAACGGCCUACCAAGCCAACGAUCAGUAGCCGACCUGAGAGGGUGACCGGCCACAUUGGGACUGAGACACGGCCCAAACUCCUACGGGAGGCAGCAGUGGGGAAUAUUGCACAAUGGGGGAAACCCUGAUGCAGCGACGCCGCGUGAGCGAAGAAGUAUUUCGGUAUGUAAAGCUCUAUCAGCAGGGAAGAAAAUGACGGUACCUGACUAAGAAGCACCGGCUAAAUACGUGCCAGCAGCCGCGGUAAUACGUAUGGUGCAAGCGUUAUCCGGAUUUACUGGGUGUAAAGGGAGCGUAGACGGCUGUGUAAGUCUGAAGUGAAAGCCCGGGGCUCAACCCCGGGACUGCUUUGGAAACUAUGCAGCUAGAGUGUCGGAGAGGUAAGUGGAAUUCCCAGUGUAGCGGUGAAAUGCGUAGAUAUUGGGAGGAACACCAGUGGCGAAGGCGGCUUACUGGACGAUGACUGACGUUG